UGGGGUUAUAGUAUAGAGGGAGUACGGCUGGUUCGCAAUCAGCAAACACGGGUUCGAUUCCCGUUAGCUCCAA
rnacentral:tRNA from 1 species